UUACCUACGGGACGCAGCAGUGAGGAAUAUUGGUCAAUGGUCGGGAGACUGAACCAGCCAAGCCGCGUGAGGGAGGAAGGUACAGAGUAUCGUAAACCUCUUUUGUCAGGGAACAAAGGCGGGGACGUGUCCCCGGAUGAGUGUACCUGAAGAAAAAGCAUCGGCUAACUCCGUGCCAGCAGCCGCGGUAAUACGGAGGAUGCGAGCGGUAUCCGGAUUUAUUGGGUUUAAAGGGUGCGCAGGCGGUCUGUUAAGUCAGCGGUCAAAGCCCGGGGCUCAACCCCAGCCCGCCGUGGAAGCUGGCA
rnacentral:rRNA from 1 species